rnacentral:rRNA from 1 species
UACAGAGGGUGCGAGCGUUAAUCGGAAUUACUGGGCGUAAAGCGCGCGUAGGCGGCUUUGCAAGUCGGGUGUGAAAUCCCCAGGCUUAACCUGGGAACUGCAUUCGAGACUGCAUUGCUAGAGUAUGGGAGAGGGAAGUGGAAUUUCCGGUGUAGCGGUGAAAUGCGUAGAUAUCGGAAGGAACAUCAGUGGCGAAAAGCGGCACUCUGGGCCGGUACUGACGCUGAGGAGCGAAAGCGUGGGGAGCAAACAGG